rnacentral:snRNA from 13 species
AUACCUUUCUCGGCCUUUUGGCUAAGAUCAAGUGUAGUAUCUGUUCUUAUCAGUUUAAUAUCUGAUACGUGGGCCAUAGGUCCACACGAUAUUAAAUUAAUUUUUUGAGGGGGAGAGUCCAUAACAGUAGCUUGCUACUGGGGCUCUCGGGCGUCGCUCAUGCGUUGCACUAUAGCAAGAGCCUGGCGCACCCCAC